AGCACGCUUAGGCGUGUGACUGCGUACCUUUUGUAUAAUGGGUCAGCGACUUAUAUUCUGUAGCAAGGUUAACCGAAUAGGGGAGCCGAAGGGAAACCGAGUCUUAACUGGGCGUUAAGUUGCAGGGUAUAGACCCGAAACCCGGUGAUCUAGCCAUGGGCAGGUUGAAGGUUGGGUAACACUAACUGGAGGACCGAACCGACUAAUGUUGAAAAAUUAGCGGAUGACUUGUGGCUGGGGGUGAAAGGCCAAUCAAACCGGGAGAUAGCUGGUUCUCCCCGAAAGCUAUUUAGGUAGCGCCUCGUGAAUUCAUCUCCGGGGGUAGAGCACUGUUUCGGCAAGGGGGUCAUCCCGACUUACCAACCCGAUGCAAACUGCGAAUACCGGAGAAUGUUAUCACGGGAGACACACGGCGGGUGCUAACGUCCGUCGUGAAGAGGGAAACAACCCAGACCGCCAGCUAAGGUCCCAAAGUCAUGGUUAAGUGGGAAACGAUGUGGGAAGGCCCAGACAGCCAGGAUGUUGGCUUAGAAGCAGCCAUCAUUUAAAGAAAGCGUAAUAGCUCACUGGUCGAGUCGGCCUGCGCGGAAGAUGUAACGGGGCUAAACCAUGCACCGAAGCUGCGGCAGCGACGCU
rnacentral:rRNA from 1 species